AACAAAAACAAGAGACCGGACAACAUGGUCCUGAUAAAGGAACCCCUCUACUUGUCUCCUACUUAAAAUCCAUUGGAGGACUAGGUCACAGAGGAGGGACCUAGGAUCUUCUUCUCCAAUACAUUUUAACAAAGACACGAGGAGAGAGGAUGCCAGAAAAAUAGUGAAAACCCUUGAGAAAGAGCCCUCAAAUGUGUCUAGGUUAUAUAGUUAAGGUGUAUGUAGAGAUGUGGUUAUAUAGUUAUAUAGUUAAGGUGUAGGUAGAGAUGUGGUUAUAUAGUUAUAUAGUUAAGGUGUAGGUAGAGAUGUGGUUAUAUAGUUAUAUAGUUAAGGUGUAGGUAGAGAUGUGGUUAUAUAGUUAUGGUGUAGGUAGAGAUGUGGUUAAAUAGUUAUGGUGUAGGUAGAGAUGUGGUUAAAUAGUUAUAUAGUUAAUGUGUAGGUGGAGAUGUGGUUAUAUAGUUAAGGUGUAGGUAGAGAUGUGGUUAUAUAGUUAAGGUGUAGGUAGAGAUGUGGUUAUAUAGUUAAGGUGUAGGUAGAGAUGUGGUUAUAUAGUUAAGGUGUAGGUAGAGAUGUGGUUAUAUAGUUAUAUAGUUAAGGUGUAGGUAGAGAUGUGGUUAUAUAGUUAUAUAGUUAAGGUGUAGGUAGAGAUGUGGUUAUAUAGUUAUAUAGUUAAGGUGUAGGUAGAGAUGUGGUUAUAUAGUUAAGGUGUAGGUAGAGAUGUGGUUAUAUAGUUAAGGUGUAGGUAGAGAUGUGGUUAUAUAGUUAUAUAGUUAAGGUGUAGGUAGAGAUGUGGUUAUAUAGUUAUAUAGUUAAGGUGUAGGUAGAGAUGUGGUUAUAUAGUUAAGGUGUAGGUAGAGAUGUGGUUAUAUAGUUAAGGUGUAUGUAGAGAUGUGGUUAUAUAGUUAUAUAGUUAAGGUGUAGGUAGAGAUGUGGUUAUAUAGUUAUAUAGUUAAGGUGUAGGUAGAGAUGUGGUUAUAUAGUUAAGGUGUAGGUAGAGAUGUGGUUUUAUAGUUAAGGUGUAGGUAGAGAUGUGGUUAUAUAGUUAAGGUGUAGGUAGAGAUGUGGUUAUAUAGUUAAGGUGUAGGUAGAGAUGUGGUUAUAUAGUUAAGGUGUAGGUAGAGAUGUGGUUAUAUAGUUAAGGUGUAGGUAGAGAUGUGGUUAUAUAGUUAAGGUGUAGGUAGAGAUGUGGUUAUAUAGUUAAGGUGUAGGUAGAGAUGUGGUUAUAUAGUUAAGGUGUAGGUAGAGAUGUGGUUAUAUAGUUAAGGUGUAGGUAGAGAUGUGGUUAUAUAGUUAAGGUGUAGGUAGAGAUGUGGUUAUAUAGUUAAGGUGUAGGUAGAGAUGUGGUUAUAUAGUUAUAUAGUUUAGGUGUAGGUAGAGAUGUGGUUAUAUAGUUAAGGUGUAGGUAGAGAUGUGGUUAUAUAGUUAUAUAGUUAAGGUGUAGGUGGAGAUGUGGUUAUAUAGUUAAGGUGUAGGUAGAGAUGUGGUUAUAUAGUUAAGGUGUAGGUAGAGAUGUGGUUAUAUAGUUAUAUAGUUAAGGUGUAGGUAGAGAUGUGGUUAUAUAGUUAAGGUGUAGGUAGAGAUGUGGUUAUAUAGUUAUAUAGUUAAGGUGUAGGUGGAGAUGUGGUUAUAUAGUUAAGGUGUAGGUAGAGAUGUGGUUAUAUAGUUAUAUAGUUUAGGUGUAGGUAGAGAUGUGGUUAUAUAGUUAAGGUGUAGGUAGAGAUGUGGUUAUAUAGUUAAGGUGUAGGUAGAGAUGUGGUUAUAUAGUUAUAUAGUUUAGGUGUAGGUAGAGAUGUGGUUAUAUAGUUAAGGUGUUGGUAGAGAUGUGGUUAUAUAGUUAUAUAGUUACGGUGUAGGUAGAGAUGUGGUUAAAUAGUUAUAUAGUUAAGGUGUAGGUGGAGACGUGGUUAUAUAGUUAAGGUGUAGGUAGAGAUGUGGUUAUAUGGUUAAGGUGUUGGUAGAGAUGUGGUUAUAUAGUUAUAUAGUUUAGGUGUAGGUAGAGAUGUGGUUUUAUAGUUAAGGUGUAGGUAGAGAUGUGGUUAUAUAGUUAUAUAGUUAAGGUGUAGGUAGAGAUGUGGUUAUAUAGUUAAGGUGUAGGUAGAGAUGUGGUUAUAUAGUUAAGGUGUAGGUGGAGAUGUGGUUAUAUAGUUAAGGUGUAGGUAGAGAUGUGGUUAUAUAGUUAUAUAGUUAAGGUGUAGGUGGAGAUGUGGUUAUAUAGUUAAGGUGUAGGUAGAGAUGUGGUUAUAUAGUUAUAUAGUUAAGGUGUAGGUGGAGAUGUGGUUAUAUAGUUAAGGUGUAGGUAGAGAUGUGGUUAUAUAGUUAUAUAGUUUAGGUGUAGGUAGAGAUGUGGUUAUAUAGUUAAGGUGUUGGUAGAGAUGUGGUUAUAUAGUUAUAUAGUUUAGGUGUAGGUAGAGAUGUGGUUAUAUAGUUAAGGUGUAGGUAGAGAUGUGGUUAUAUAGUUAUAUAGUUAAGGUGUAGGUAGAGAUGUGGUUAUAUAGUUAUAUAGUUAAGGUGUAGGUGGAGAUGUGGUUAUAUAGUUAAGGUGUAGGUAGAGAUGUGGUUAUAUAGUUAUAUAGUUUAGGUGUAGGUAGAGAUGUGGUUAUAUAGUUAAGGUGUAGGUAGAGAUGUGGUUAUAUAGUUAUAUAGUUAAGGUGUAGGUAGAGAUGUGGUUAUAUAGUUACGGUGUAGGUAGAGAUGUGGUUAAAUAGUUAUAUAGUUAAGGUGUAGGUGGAGAUGUGGUUAUAUAGUUAAGGUGUAGGUAGAGAUGUGGUUAUAUAGUUACGGUGUAGGUAGAGAUGUGGUUAAAUAGUUAUAUAGUUAAGGUGUAGGUGGAGACGUGGUUAUAUAGUUAAGGUGUAGGUAGAGAUGUGGUUAUAUGGUUAAGGUGUUGGUAGAGAUGUGGUUAUAUAGUUAUAUAGUUUAGGUGUAGGUAGAGAUGUGGUUAUAUAGUUAAGGUGUAGGUAGAGAUGUGGUUAUAUGGUUAAGGUGUUGGUAGAGAUGUGGUUAUAUAGUUAUAUAGUUUAGGUGUAGGUAGAGAUGUGGUUAUAUAGUUAAGGUGUAGGUAGAGAUGUGGUUAUAUAGUUAAGGUGUAGGUAGAGAUGUGGUUAUAUGGUUAAGGUGUUGGUAGAGAUGUGGUUAUAUAGUUAUAUAGUUUAGGUGUAGGUAGAGAUGUGGUUAUAUAGUUAAGGUGUAGGUAGAGAUGUGGUUAUAUAGUUAAGGUGUAGGUAGAGAUGUGGUUAUAUAGUUAAGGUGUAGGUAGAGAUGUGGUUAUAUAGUUAUAUAGUUACGGUGUAGGUAGAGAUGUGGUUAUAUAGUUAUAUAGUUAAGGUGUAGGUAGAGAUGUGGUUAUAUAGUUAUAUAGUUAAGGUGUAGGUAGAGAUGUGGUUAUAUAGUUAAGGUGUAGGUAGAGAUGUGGUUAUAUAGUUAAGGUGUAGGUAGAGAUGUGGUUAUAUAGUUACGGUGUAGGUAGAGAUGUGGUUAUAUAGUUAUAUAGUUAAGGUGUAGGUAGAGAUGUGGUUAUAUAGUUAAGGUGUAGGUAGAGAUGUGGUUAUAUAGUUAAGGUGUAGGUAGAGAUGUGGUUAUAUAGUUAAGGUAUAGGUAGAGAUGUGGUUAUAUGGUUAAGGUGUAGGUAGAGAUGUGGUUAUAUAGUUAUAUAGUUUAGGUGUAGGUAGAGAUGUGGUUUUAUAGUUAAGGUGUAGGUAGAGAUGUGGUUAUAUAGUUAUAUAGUUAAGGUGUAGGUAGAGAUGUGGUUAUAUAGUUAUAUAGUUAAGGUGUAGGUAGAGAUGUGGUUUUAUAG